rnacentral:lncRNA from 1 species
CAUUUUUCUCCGUAAUAGCACCUUGGGACAUAAACGAGUUGUUCAGAUAUUUUGUAAAGAGAAAUUUUGCUUAUUGUUAAGUGCAAAAAACAAGUAGCGUGCAACCCUUAUUUAUAGUCAAUAUUUCAUACAUUACGCAGUAUUAUACUGCAAUUUACGUAUUCAAUUAUUCUGAAAAAGUUUCUUUUUCCACAUGCGGUUUUCAGCUUUUCUAGAACAUGACAACUCAAUAAUACGUAGCAUUUAACUGCGAAUUACAUAUUUAGCUUUUCACAUGCUUUUGCAACACAAAUAAAUUUAAUAUUGGAACAACCAUAUCAAAAUAUAACGUUAAAAAAUAAGAUGAAAUUUGGAAUGUUCUUUUAUUUCAUAUAAAUUGAAACUUACGCAAGUACAAACAUGACUAUAAAAAAAUAUCAAAAUGAAAUACUAGGGGUUUCCGUGAUAGAGACGGCCCGUUUUUCACAGGAACACAACCUUCUAUUUUCAUUCACCGUAUGCAGAUGAUUCCCACGGUGUCCGCUGAUAGAUGUUAACUUCAAAAACACCCCGUUCAUGAUCGUACUGAAGAAAUGAAUGCCACUAUGCUCGCCUCCUCGACCUUUCAAAUCUUCUCAUAGGUAAUGGCAUAAAUUCAACACCCCGGUCCAUCAAUGCUGAGGCAGUUGCAUGCCUUUCAACAAACCUCUCUGCACUCUGUUUGAAUGUCAUGCGAACCAUGGCAGUGACAGGCAGUCCAUGGGCAGAUUUCAGCAAGCCGUUGAAUGACUCUGACACGUUUGUAGUCAAGGCUCCCCAUCGUCUUCCGCCAUCAGCAUGCAAUGUCCACAUGUGAAGCUCAUGUCCCAUUAACCAAGAAUAGGCUCUUGGUUCUAUCUGCCGGAUCGCUUCCAUGCGCCUAGUGAAUUUGCAUUGCUGGUGCUCAGUUGCAGCUAUCCACAUUAAGUCAUGCAAGGUCUUGUCAGAAAAUUUCUUCUGAAAAUUGGCCUUCAGGUGCUCCCGAUCGCUUCCAUGUGCCUCGUGAAUUUGCACUGCUGGUGCUCAGUUGCAGCCAUUUACAUUAAGUCAUGCAAGGUAUUGUCAGGAAAUUUUUUCUGAAAAUUUGCCUUCAGGUUCCGCACACAGUAACGGUAGUAUGGAUAUGGUUCCUGCCAUGCAGGUAAGUGACGCACAGAACUUAAAAUACCACCAUGUCGAUAAGAUAUUAGACAAAUACCUGAACGCUGUUUGACAACAUGCUGCUUCAAGUGUUUCAAAAACGCGUCCACGUCUCUUCGCUUUCGUUGACACAUAUGGCAAAGGCUAAUGGAAAUAUUUGCCCGUUGGCAUCUACAAUUACUGCAAUCAAAAGCUUAAUAUCAUACUUUCUAUAGACAUAGGUACCGUCUAUGGAAAUAACAGGACGACAAUGCACAAAACCAUCAAUUGCCGGUUUAAAUGACCAGAACACAUAGUUAAAAAUAUAUUCGGGUCUGU